AUUUUCGUCUAGAUAAGGUGACCAACAGUCGAAACUAUUAAUAUUUUUUAUGGAAUAAUCGGCCUAUUCAGGGUACGGAUGAUCUAUGUGCCAAGUGUCCAUCAAGUCCAUUUGAUUCUAUCUAAUGACGGAUAAUUAUAAAUUUAAUACACUCCAUAUUAGUGAAUCUAUUCCAUUCUGACCAUUCCGUUAGAUAUAUACUAUUAGUUCUAAACUUGGUUCCUGAUAAACGUCUUGUGCGCAUCCACUUCAAGUGUCUGUUGCAGUUGAGAAAAAGUGACCAGCGUUAUUUGAUGUCAACAACUGUAAAACCUAUUGAUCGCACUUCCGCCGUUAUCACAGAAAGCUGCAUUGAGAUGACAGCCACGUACAUGGAACGUGAUAGCGGUAACUCGGCUGAAUAGCAUUUGGGUUGAAAAAAAUCGUUAUUGUUGUACGACCAUAUUUUUCCUCUGCGCUAACGGUACCCGCGAUACAAACAACAUUGUUCGUCACAGUUAGUGGACAGUACGUAAUCAAGGUCGAAGGAUAAAACAAUUGGCCCAAAACGAAUUCGAACGAACGAAAGAAAAAAAGGUGCGCGGUACAAGGUGGGGGAAUUAUUUUAGGUUCAGCCCUUGGUGGGAUGCAGAGGGCGCAGUUUCGUCCUUGAUACAAUAUCAAACUUUUCGAAAAAUCGUCAUUCUCCUGUGUUUAGUAUCACUUGACUUGUAAUAAUUACGUACACAAAUACCAGGCACAAAAUCCAUGUAAACUUGUGCUAUCAAAAUUGUAAAAUCCUUAUAG